UGACUGUGUGUGUGAUACUAUAACUGUGUUAUUUUUAAUUUACUUUUAUUCAACAUGGACCUGAAUCUGUUUGUGGACCCACUGAGGCCCUGUCUCCAGACCUUUGUAUCAGAGCAGGACUGAGACCAUCAGGCUCCAUCAGUGAGACUACAACCAGURGAAGMCAGUUCCACCCCACAUCAGAUAAGUGCAGUUGAUGCAGCGAGCAGCAUUCAGCCCAUCCAUGGACCCAGGACAGAUGUCCUCUACAUCCACACCUACAUCUGACAGGCAGGUGGACGAGGAGGUGAUGGAGUUCCUGACCAUCUGAAGAACUGAACCAGCAGCAGGAUGAGGAGACACUGGAACAAAAUCUGUUCAUCAGGGUUUUAAAGCCUUCAUGACAGCUGAAAAAUUCAUUUAAUGCAAAUGUACAGUUUUAAAAUGUCCUGUUUAGAGCUGAGGAAGUCAAACACCAGGCCUUGACAUGUUUUUUAAACUCAGGAUGUUUAAUCUGUUUAUAUUAAAGCUUACCUAGAAAUUUUCAUUUAUUUGACAUUGAUUGAUGGUUUUACUUUAAUAAAUAAAAUUUUAAAUAUUCAACACUUUUGUUUUUACCUAACUAUGAGCUGUGAGUGAUAGAUGAAACAAUGAAUAUAGUA